GAUGUCACUACUAACUUCCCCUAUUUCGAUUCCUUCCUUCUCUUCUUGGGUGUUCAUUCCUGGAUGCAUGAAGGUCCACAAGGUGAAGAUGCCUGGCUUGUGCUUGGUGUUGUUCAUGGUGGCCCUGUUGCUUCCUGGAUCUGAAGGCAAAAUUUGCAAGGAGUAUAGCAAAACCUACACUGUUUCUGAAUGCACGAGCAAACCAUGCGUCGAGCACUGCUAUGACGAGGGUUUCGCUGAAGGGGAAUGUAAAACAAGUGAGUAUGAACUUGAUGAUUAUCGAUUCUGUCUCUGCAAGAAACAUUGUUAAUGAUGCUUCAAGAUGUCAAGCAAAGAGUAAUAAGAUCUUGAGGCGGAGUUGUCUGUAACAUCCCAAAAUAUUCCGAUUUUGGAAUGUUAAAUAAAUAAAAGAUACAUGACAUGUGGUUGCAUCAUGUAAGGGACUCGGCUCAAUUGAUAGACAAAUGCCCGCAUGUUGUAUUUC